rnacentral:rRNA from 1 species
UGGGGAAUAUUGCACAAUGGGCGAAAGCCUGAUGCAGCAACGCCGCGUGGAGGAUGAAGGCCUUCGGGUUGUAAACUCUUGUCUUCUGGGACGAUAAUGACGGUACCAGAGGAGGAAGCCACGGCUAACUACGUGCCAGCAGCCGCGGUAAUACGUAGGUGGCAAGCGUUGUCCGGAUUUACUGGGCGUAAAGGAUGCGUAGGCGGAUAUUUAAGUGGGAUGUGAAAUACCCGGGCUCAACCUGGGUGCUGCAUUCCAAACUGGAUAUCUGGAGUGCGGGAGAGGAAAGUGGAAGUCCUAGUGCAGCGGUGAAAUGCGUAGAGAUUAGGAAGAACACCAGUGUCGAAGGCGACUUUCUGGACCGUAACUGACGCUGAGGCAUGAAAGCGUGGGGA